UUAAGUCAGAUGUGAAAGACCCGGGGCGUUAACCUACGGAAUUGCAUUUGUAAACUAGGCAGGCUAGAGUCUUGUAGAGGGGGGUAGGAAUUUCUAGGUGUAGCGGUGAAAUGCGUAGAGAUCUGAAGGAAUACCAGUGGCGAAGGCGGCCCCCUGGACAAAGACUGACGCUCAGAUGCGAAAGCGUGGGGAGCAAACAGGAUUAGAUACCCUGGUAG
rnacentral:rRNA from 1 species